rnacentral:rRNA from 1 species
UGGGGAAUAUUGCACAAUGGGCGCAAGCCUGAUGCAGCAACGCCGCGUGAGGGACGACGGCCUUCGGGUUGUAAACCUCUUUUAGUAGGGAAGAAGCGAAAGUGACGGUACCUGCAGAAAAAGCACCGGCUAACUACGUGCCAGCAGCCGCGGUAAUACGUAGGGUGCGAGCGUUGUCCGGAAUUAUUGGGCGUAAAGAGCUCGUAGGCGGUCUGUCGCGUCUGCUGUGAAAACCCGAGGCUCAACCUCGGGCCUGCAGUGGGUACGGGCAGACUAGAGUGCGGUAGGGGAGAAUGGAAUUCCUGGUGUAGCGGUGGAAUGCGCAGAUAUCAGGAGGAACACCGAUGGCGAAGGCAGUUCUCUGGGCCGUAACUGACGCUGAGGAGCGAAAGCGUGGGGAGCGAACAGGAUUAGAUACCCUGGUAGUCCACGCCGUAAACGUUGGGCGCUAGAUGUGGGGACCAUUCCACGGUUUCCGUGUCGCAGCUAACGCAUUAAGCGCCCCGCCUGGGGAGUACGGCCGCAAGGCUAAAACUCAAAGGAAUUGAC